GUAUAUCCUAGAUACAAUAUAUGUUUGCAGAACCGAACAGUUCUCUUGUUGCAUAGGGAGAAUUGGAUUCAGAAGGUAUAAAUAACCCGGGAAGAAAAACAAAAAUGCAGAUAGUUCACAUUCGUUUCCCAGUGUUCUUUCUUUGGGUGUAGCUGCUUUUGUCCAUCGUUUAUCAAUUGAAACUCAGGUUUCUUUGUAUAAUACACACAAAAUGUUUUCUUUUGCCAUCAAAAUAUGUCCUCAUACAAUAUCGUUGUCGAAGUGUAUAAUGAUCUCCUGGUUCUGCUCAUUUCACUUAGCAUCAGUUUAUGUAAGUCUCGCCAGUCCUCUUUGUAUUCAUCCUGCUGGUCAUUUCUUACAGAACAAUAAUAUUCCAUAACAUUCAUAUACCACAAUUUACCCAGCCAUUCUCCAAUUGAUGGGCAUCCAUUCAUUUUCCAGUUUCUAGCCACUACAAACAGGGCUGCUACAAACAUUUUGCCACAUACAGGUCCCUUUCCCUUCUUUAGUAUUUCUUUGGGAUAUAAGCCCAAUAGAAACACUGCUGGAUCAAAGGGUAUGCACAAUUUGAUAAUUUUUUGGGCAUAAUUCCAGAUUGCUCUCCAGAAUGGUUGGAUUCGUUCACAACUCCACCAACAAUGCAUUAGUGUCCCAGUUUUCCCGCAUCCCCUCCAACAUUCAUCAUUAUUUUUUCCUGUCAUCUUGAGAAAAAACAAUUUUUAAUCAAAGCAAUGGACAUCUCCUGACAAUUGUUUGAUAGACUUUGGGUAUAAAAUGAGAAAUUUUAGGCAUGGCUUCUGUGUGGAUUUAUUUCUCGAUUAUGCUUCUUUCUUAGUAAAGGAUAAGAAAAUGCUUAUCAAUGAUGUACAUUGAAACUUUUAUUUAAUGUACAGAGGGAAAAGAUGUUAAAACAUUUUUUAAAAAGGCCAUUUUGAAAGUAAUGUGUUGACUCUUUCCAGACUCAACAUCUGACCUGGACUAUGGCUCUUAAACUACUUUCCAGAUCUAUCUAUUCAUUGCAGUGUGAAGAAAGGCCUUUGGGGGUGAGGCAGGAGUAGGUGGAAAUUUGGACUCUUUAAAGAGUACAGGUUGAAGAGACCAUGGCUGGUCCUAAGUAUCUGCUUUUUGUCUUCUUGUGUCAGUGUCUAUAUAGUACCUAGAUAUGGACCUCAUACUUGAGCACAUGUUGUCUUUUCAUCAUUGGGGCAUUAUUGGCUUAUUUUCAAAGUCAGAUUCUGUGAGCAAUGAGAGAUUGUGUUCUUUUUUUGAAAGUUGGAAUCCUUGCUCUUUAUUCUUAUGCCUCUUUUCAUUUUCCCACAGCCUUUCAAACACUGCUGACAGAUCCCUUAGGGAUGGAAUCUACGCAUGGGUCUCUGUGUUUGAUAGGGAAUUUGAAUUCUCGAAAAGCAAAGCAACUGAUAUUUUUUACUUAAGUUCACCCUUUGUAAAAUAAAAGAAGCAAUGAAGAGAACUAUGCUUCUGGACUCUUUUGAGCAAUGCAGAAAAAAAAAAUUGCUAAAGUAAACAUGAUGAUCAUGAUGUUCCUGAGGACUUUGGAUGUUAAGAUUACCUAGCACCUUCCUUACCCCAUUGACUCUAUACCAGCUUACCAUUACCAGUAUGUCUCCAUGAAGAAAGAGGGAGAUGGUGUUGGUCUGUGUAACAACUAGUUUUGUAAGGUAAGUAAACGUAUUUUUUUAAAUAACUCUUUGCAUGGGUCAUGUCCAUCUCUGUUGUCUUGAACUUAGGAUGCAAUAGAUUUUAUUUUCCCACUUCCCCCAUUUUAUAGUAAUGUUGAAGGAUGCCUGAUUCUUCCUAAUUAUCAUGGGAAAUAAUAAGUAAUUUGAACAGAUCUAUGCAGUUGGCUUUCAUGGCAAAAUUAGGAGGACAGUUGAGGGAAAAUCAGGGUUGGUCAAACAACAAUGUUUAAUUGCUAAGAGACAGAAAUUAUCUAUCUACCAUGAAAAACCAACUCUGAGAUGAAAGGUACUAAAAAAAAUAAAUAAAUAAACUUUUGGACCAAAGAUCAGCGUUGAACCACAACAUGAGGGAGAUGCUGUUGGGCCUUUAUGGAGAUUAAAAUUAUCUACUUCCAAUAAAAGAUUGAGGCAGAGGUCUGAGCCAAUAACACUUUAAAGUUCCUUCUAAUUAAGUCGACCUCAAAUCUUCCUCAUGAUCUGAGAUGCUACUUUCAGGCAUCAUUUUUAUGGGGCUAGAUAUCCAGUCAUUCCAGAACAGCUGUACCAAAUACAGAAUAAUUCCAGUGAGUAAGCAAAAUAAUGUCAGCAGUGUCACAAGUUGAUUGAAGCAAGGAAUAUCUCCACAUAAGACGGCCAGGCUUCUUAAUUUGGGCAGGAAGAGAUGGUACCAGUUAUCAGUCGGAGACCUAGUGGUCAUAAGAUGAUCAUUUGUUCCUAUUGGACAAGUGAUUAGUCUGGAGGUACAAAAAAAUAUUUUGGAGGGACCUUCCACGUCUGUGUCACCUCACCUCUGUGCUGGGCUUGGUGGUUAUCACAAGGCAAAAAAAGGGUGGAAGGCCAAAAUAACUGACCCCUUCUGCCUCCCAUGGAAGACCUCCCUCCAUGCAUUUAGAUUGUAAUGAUACAUAGAAAGACUGGUGUCUUUCUGUGCAUCAAAGCAGGGAAUGAGAAAUGAUUGCUUUUGAACCCCUGCUUUAUUCCAAAAAAUACUAAUAUAAUUAAUCCAAAGUUGUGUUAUGUAAGACCCCCAGAGCUGUGAACUGCAGAUCCUACAUUCACUUGCUUAAGGCAAAACAAGUGUGAGGGAGCCUUUAGUUACCUUCUUAUACUUAUGAUGACCAAGCCUCUCCUGGCAGAGGUGACACCUGCAUAGAAAGUCUCUCCAAAUAGUCUUUACCUCCAGAUCAAUCACUUGUCCAGUUAGGAGCAAAUGAUCAUCCUAUGACCACUUAAGUCACUGACUGAUAGCUUGUAUCAUUUCCUCCUGGCCGUCUUAUGUGGAGAUAUUUCUUGCUUCAUCCAACUUGCGACACUGCUGACAUAUUUUGCUUAUUUGAUGGAAUUAUUCUGUAUUUGGUACAGUGGUCCUGGAAUGACUAGACAUAGAAGUGGCAUUUCAGAUCAUGAGGAAGACCUGAGGUCUAUGAAGUAGAAGAGACCAUGGGCCCUUUAUUAAAGUGCUAUUGACUCAGACCUGUGCCUCAGUCUUUUACUAUAAGUGGGAGAAUUUUAAUCUCCACACCCUAUAUUUGAGCUAUAAAACCAUGACAGCAGAUAAUUGCUAAAAUAGCUUCCUCUCAGCCCUGCUGAGGGGGGAGGCCUCUAAUAUAUAGGAGCCAUUGUUCCUGUGUGCAGAUAUAUGGGGGUGAUGAUAGCUAUACUAAGAUCUUUCAGCAUCAGGAAAGAAUAGGGCUCUGGGGUGUUAUGCAGGCUGGUUUUAGAACCAAGAAAUCCUGCGUUGAAGUACUGUUUAACCUGUUGUUAACUAGUCACACGAUUCAUAUGGCAGUCAUUUAUUUUGCAUAUAAAGUAAGCUCCUAAGUUUUUUUUUUGUUGUUGUUGUUGUUUGUUUUUGAAGUGCCAAAGAAUUGUAAACAGAUUCCUAUUGUUUGAAGGAUAAAGUCACAGCAUAUAAAUAUAAUAGAAUAUCACAAUGCCAUAAAGGAACAAUAUGAAUAUAGAAAAGUAUGGAAAGACUUAAAUUAUCUGAUGCAGUGAAGUAUGGCAGAGACGAAGAAAAACAUAAUUAUAUUAACUAUUAAUUUCAAAAGAACAACCCCCAUAAAAUAAUAAUUGAAUAUAAAAAAUGACAGAACUAGCAAGAGGUGACAAGACAGACUUCUUUGCAAUUCUCCUAGUUGCAGAAGUUAGGAGCUUCAGGGUAUGUAUUAUAUUGCAUAUAUUUCUGAUUAUUUCAAUAUUUCUGUAGAAUUUUUUCUUGUUUUUCUCUUUAGAAUUUUGUUUUUGAAUUUAUGUAAGAUGGAUUCCUGGGAAUGUAAUAGAUAAUAUAAUAGAUUUGAUGAAAUGGGAAAAGCAUAUGAUUCCUUACAAAAUAAAUAUGAAAAAGAAACCAAUGAAAAACAGAAUUUGUGAAAUGGAAAAAAUCUAAUGAAUAAAACACCUCAUUUAAAAGUUCAAUUGGCCAAAUGCAAAAGGAGAUUAAAAAAAGCUAACUGAAGAAAAUAAUUCACUAAAAGUUACAAAUGGACAUGAAUGACUCGAUGAGACUUCAAGAAUCAAACAAAUAAAAUGAAAAAAAAAAAAGAAAAUGUAAAAUACCUCAAUGGAAAAAUAAUUGACCUGGAAAAUCGAUCUGGGAGAGACAAUCUUAGAAUUAUUGGAUUUCCUGAAAAUCA